rnacentral:lncRNA from 1 species
ACAACCCCAAAUCUACAAUAUUUAUCUAUAAAAAUGAAAACUUUCCUAAAAUAGAAUUUUUGAAAAAUUUAUUUAAAAAAUUCAAUAUAUUGAUAAAAAAAUCAAACAAAAUACUCUUCUAUCAACAAAAAUUCUUGUUGUCCUAAUCUCUAAACCACAACCCCAAAUCUACAAUAUUUCUCUACAAAAAUAAAAACUUUCAUAAAAUAGAAUUUUUGAGAAUUUUAUUUUUAAAAUACAACCUUUUGAUCAAAAAAUCUAAAAGAGUACUCUUCUACCAACAAAAGUUUUUCUUAUCAUAGUUUAUAAAUCACAACCCCAAAUCUACAAUAUUUAUCUAUAAAAAUGAAAACUUUCCUAAAAUAGAAUUUUUGAAUAAAUUAUUUAAAAAAUACAAUAUAUUGAUAAAAAAAUCAAACAAAAUACUCUUCUAUCAACAAGAAUUCUUGUUGUCCUAAUUUCUAAACCACAAUCCCAAAUGUACAAUAUUUAUCUACAAAAAUGAAAACUUUCCUAAAAUAGAAUUUUUGAAAAAAUUAUUUAAAAAAUACAAUAUAUUGAUAAAAAAAUCAAACAAAAUACUCUUCUAUCAACAAGAAUUCUUGUUGUCCUAAUUUCUAAACCACAAUCCCAAAUGUACAAUAUUUCUCUACAAAAAAUAAAAACUUUCCUAAAAUAGAAUUUUUGAGAAUUUUAUUUUUAAAAUACAACCUUUUGGUCAAAAAAUCUAAAAGAGUACUCUUCUAUCAACAAAAAUGUUUCUUAUCCUAAUUUAUAAAUCAAAACCCCAAAUCUACAAUAUUUAUCUAUAAAAAUGAAAACUUUCCUAAAAUAGAAUUUUUGAGAAUUUUAUUUUUAAAAUACAACCUAUUGAUAAAAAAAAUCUAAAAGAAUACUCUUCUAUCAACAAAUUUUUUUCUUAUCCUAGUUUAUAAAUCACAACCCCAAAUCUACAAUUUUUAUUUACAAAAAUGAAAAUUUUCCUAAAAUAGAAUUUUUGAGAAUUUUAUUUUUAAAAUACAACCUAUUGAUAAAAAAAUCUAAAAGAAUACUCCUCUAUCAACAAAAGUUUUUCUUAUCCUAGUUUAUAAAUCACAACCCCAAAUCUACAAUAUUUAUCUAUAAAAAUGAAAACUUUCCUAAAAUAGAAUUUUUGAAAAAUUUAUUUAAAAAAUUCAAUAUAUUGAUAAAAAAAUCAAACAAAAUACUCUUCUAUCAACAAAAAUUCUUGUUGUCCUAAUCUCUAAACCACAACCCCAAAUCUACAAUAUUUCUCUACAAAAAUAAAAACUUUCCUAAAAUAGAAUUUUUGAGAAUUUUAUUUUUAAAAUACAACCUAUUGAUAAAAAAAUCUAAAAGAAUACUCUUCUAUCAACAAAUUUUUUUUCUUAUCCUAGUUUAUAAAUCACAACCCCAAAUCUACAAUUUUUAUUUACAAAAAUGAAAAUUUUCCUAAAAUAGAAUUUUUGAGAAUUUUAUUUUUAAAAUACAACCUAUUGAUAAAAAAAUCUAAAAGAAUACUCCUCUAUCAACAAAGUUUUUCUUAUCCUAGUUUAUAAAUCACAACCCCAAAUCUACAAUAUUUAUCUAUAAAAAUGAAAACUUUCCUAAAAUAGAAUUUUUGAAAAAUUUAUUUAAAAAAUUCAAUAUAUUGAUAAAAAAAUCAAACAAAUACUCUUCUAUCAACAAAAAUUCUUGUUGUCCUAAUCUCUAAACCACAACCCCAAAUCUACAAUAUUUCUCUACAAAAAUAAAAACUUUCAUAAAAUAGAAUUUUUGAGAAUUUUAUUUUUAAAAUACAACCUUUUGAUCAAAAAAUCUAAAAGAGUACUCUUCUACAACAAAAGUUUUUCUUAUCAUAGUUUAUAAAUCACAACCCCAAAUCUACAAUAUUUAUCUAUAAAAAUGAAAACUUUCCUAAAAUAGAAUUUUUGAAAAAUUAUUUAAAAAAUACAAUAUAUUGAUAAAAAAAUCAAACAAAUACUCUUCUAUCAACAAGAAUUCUUGUUGUCCUAUUUAUAACCACAAUCCCAAAUGUACAAUAUUUAUCUACAAAAAUGAAACUUUCCUAAAAUAGAAUUUUUGAAAAAAUUAUUUAAAAAAUACAAUAUAUUGAUAAAAAAAUCAAACAAAAUACUCUUCUAUCAACAAGAAUUCUUGUUGUCCUAAUUUCUAAACCACAAUCCCAAAUGUACAAUAUUUCUCUACAAAAAAUAAAAACUUUCCUAAAAUAGAAUUUUUGAGAAUUUUAUUUUUAAAAUACAACCUAUUGAUCAAAAAAUCUAAAAGAGUACUCUUCUACCAACAAAAGUUUUUCUUAUCAUAGUUUAUAAAUCACAACCCCAAAUCUACAAUAUUUAUCUAUAAAAAUGAAAACUUUCCUAAAAUAGAAUUUUUGAAUAAAUUAUUUAAAAAAUACAAUAUAUUGAUAAAAAAAUCAAACAAAAUACUCUUCUAUCAACAAAAAUUCUUGUUGUCCUAAUUCUAAACCACAAUCCCAAAUGUACAAUAUUUAUCUACAAAAAUGAAAACUUUCCUAAAAUAGAAUUUUUGAAAAAAUUAUUUAAAAAAUACAAUAUAUUGAUAAAAAAAUCAAACAAAAUACUCUUCUAUCAACAAGAAUUCUUGUUGUCCUAAUUUCUAAACCACAAUCCCAAAUGUACAAUAUUUCUCUACAAAAAAUAAAAACUUUCCUAAAAUAGAAUUUUUGAGAAUUUUAUUUUAAAAAUACAACCUUUUGAUCAAAAAAUCUAAAAGAGUACUCUUUUAUCAACAAAAUUUUUUCUUAUCCUAAUUUAUAAAUCAAAACCCCAAAUCUACAAUAUUUAUCUAUAAAAAUGAAAACUUUCCUAAAAUAGAAUUUUUGAGAAUUUUAUUUUUAAAAUACAACCUAUUGAUAAAAAAAUCUAAAAGAAUACUCUUCUAUCAACAAAUUCUUUUCUUAUCCUAGUUUAUAAAUCACAACCCCAAAUCUACAAUUUUUAUUUACAAAAAUGAAAAUUUUCCUAAAAUAGAAUUUUUGAGAAUUUUAUUUUUAAAAUACAACCUAUUGAUAAAAAAAUUUAAAAGAAUACUCCUCUAUCAACAAAAGUUUUUCUUAUCCUAGUUUAUAAAUCACAACCCCAAAUCUACAAUAUUUAUCUAUAAAAAUGAAAACUUUCCUAAAAUAGAAUUUUUGAAAAAUUUAUUUAAAAAAUUCAAUAUAUUGAUAAAAAAAUCAAACAAAAUACUCUUCUAUCAACAAAAAUUCUUGUUGUCCUAAUCUCUAAACCACAACCAAAUCUACAAUAUUUCUCUACAAAAAUAAAAACUUUCAUAAAAUAGAAUUUUUGAGAAUUUUAUUUUUAAAAUACAACCUUUUGGUCAAAAAAUCUAAAAGAGUACUCUUCUAUCAACAAAAAUGUUUCUUAUCCUAAUUUAUAAAUCAAAACCCCAAAUCUACAAUAUUUAUCUAUAAAAAUGAAAACUUUCCUAAAAUAGAAUUUUUGAGAAUUUUAUUUUUAAAAUACAACCUAUUGAUAAAAAAAAUCUAAAAGAAUACUCUUCUAUCAAUUUUUUUUUUCUUAUCCUAGUUUAUAAAUCACAACCCCAAAUCUACAAUUUUUAUUUACAAAAAUGAAAAUUUUCCUAAAAUAGAAUUUUUGAGAAUUUUAUUUUUAAAAUACAACCUAUUGAUAAAAAAAAUCUAAAAGAAUAUUCCACUAUCAACAAAAGUUUUUCUUAUCCUAGUUUAUAAAUCACAACCCCAAAUCUACAAUAUUUAUCUAUAAAAAUGAAAACUUUCCUAAAAUAGAAUUUUUGAAAAAUUUAUUUAAAAAAUUCAAUAUAUUGACUAAAAAAUCAAACAAAAUACUCUUCUAUCAACAAAAAUUCUUGUUGUCCUAAUCUCUAAACCACAACCCCAAAUCUACAAUAUUUCUCUACAAAAAUAAAAACUUUCCUAAAAUAGAAUUUUUGAGAAUUUUAUUUUUAAAAUACAACCUUUUGAUCAAAAAAUCUAAAAGAGUACUCUUCUACCAACAAAAGUUUUUCUUAUCAUAGUUUAUAAAUCACAAGCCCAAAUCUACAAUAUUUAUCUAUAAAAAUGAAAACUUAUCUAAAAUAGAAUUUUUGAAAAAUUUAUUUAAAAAAUACAAUAUAUUGAUAAAAAAAUCAAACAAAAUACUCUUCUAUCAACAAGAAUUCUUGUUGUCCUAAUUUCUAAACACAAUCCCAAAUGUACAAUAUUUAUCUACAAAAAUGAAAACUUUCCUAAAAUAGAAUUUUUGAAAAAAUUAUUUAAAAAAUACAAUAUAUUGAUAAAAAAAUCAAACAAAAUACUCUUCUAUCAACAAGAAUUCUUGUUGUCCUAAUUUCUAAACCACAAUCCCAAAUGUACAAUAUUUCUCUACAAAAAAUAAAACUUUCCUAAAAUAGAAUUUUUGAGAAUUUUAUUUUUAAAAUACAACCUUUUGAUCAAAAAAUCUAAAAGAGUACUCUUCUAUCAACAAAAUUUUUCUUAUCCUAAUUUAUAAAUCAAACCCCAAAUCUACAAUAUUUAUCUAUAAAAAUGAAAACUUUCCUAAAAUAGAAUUUUUGAGAAUUUUAUUUUUAAAAUACAACCUAUUGAUAAAAAAAAUCUAAAAGAAUACUCUUCUAUCAACAAAUUUUUUUCUUAUCCUAGUUUAUAAAUCACAACCCCAAAUCUACAAUUUUUAUUUACAAAAAUGAAAAUUUUCCUAAAAUAGAAUUUUUGAGAAUUUUAUUUUUAAAAUACAACCUAUUGAUAAAAAAAUCUAAAAGAAUACUCCUCUAUCAACAAAAGUUUUUUUAUCCUAGUUUAUAAAUCACAACCCCAAAUCUACAAUAUUUAUCUAUAAAAAUGAAAACUUUCCUAAAAUAGAAUUUUUGAAAAUUUUAUUUAAAAAAUUCAAUAUAUUGAUAAAAAAAUCAAACAAAUACUCUUCUAUCAACAAAAUUCUUGUUGUCCUAAUCUCUAAACCACAACCCAAAUCUACAAUAUUUCUCUACAAAAAUAAAAACUUUCCUAAAAUAGAAUUUUUGAGAAUUUUAUUUUUAAAAUACAACCUUUUGAUCAAAAAAUCUAAAAGAGUACUCUUCUACCAACAAAAGUUUUUCUUAUCAUAGUUUAUAAAUCACAACCCCAAAUCUACAAUAUUUAUCUAUAAAAAUGAAAACUUUCCUAAAAUAGAAUUUUUGAAUAAAUUAUUUAAAAAUACAAUAUAUUGAUAAAAAACAAACAAAAUACUCUUCUAUCAACAAGAAUUCUUGUUGUCCUAAUUUCUAAACCACAAUCCCAAAUGUACAAUAUUUAUCUACAAAAAUGAAAACUUUCCUAAAAUAGAAUUUUUGAAAAAAUUAUUUAAAAAAUACAAUAUAUUGAUAAAAAAUCAAACAAAAUACUCUUCUAUCAACAAGAAUUCUUGUUGUCCUAAUUUCUAAACCACAAUCCCAAAUGUACAAUAUUUCUCUACAAAAAAAAAACUUUCCUAAAAUAGAAUUUUUGAAAAAUUUAUUUAAAAAUACAACCUUUGAUAAAAAAAUCAAACAGUACUCUUCUAUCAACAAAAUUUUUUCUUAUCCUAAUUUCUAAAUCAAAUCCCAAAUCUACAAUAUUUCUCUACAAAAAAAAACUUUCCUAAAAUAGAAUUUUGAGAAUUUUAUUUUAAAAUACAACCUAUUGAUAAAAAAAUCUAAAAGAAUACUCUUCUAUCAACAAAUUUUUUCUUAUCCUAGUUUAUAAAUCACAACCCCAAAUCUACAAUUUUUAUUUACAAAAUGAAAAUUUUCCUAAAAUAGAAUUUUUGAGAAUUUUAUUUUUAAAAUACAACCUAUUGAUAAAAAUCUAAAAGAAUACUCUUCUAUCAACAAAGUUUUUCUUAUCCUAGUUUAUAAAUCACAACCCCAAAUCUACAAUAUUUAUCUAUAAAAAUGAAAACUUUCCUAAAAUAGAAUUUUUGAAAAUUUAUUUAAAAAAUUCAAUAUAUUGAUAAAAAAUCAAACAAAUACUCUUCUAUCAACAAAAUUCUUGUUGUCCUAAUUUCUAAACCACAACCAAAUCUACAAUAUUUCUCUACAAAAAUGAAAACUUUCCUAAAAUAGAAUUUUUGAGAAUUUUAUUUUUAAAAUACAACCUUUUGAUCAAAAAUCUAAAAAAAGAGUACUCUUCUAUCAACACAAAAUUUUCUUAUCCUAUUUAUAAAUCAAAACCCCAAAUCUACAAUAUUUAUCUAUAAAAAUGAAACUUUCCUAAAAUAGAAUUUUUGAGAAUUUUAUUUUAAAAUACAACCUAUUGAUAAAAAAAUCUAAAAGAAUACUCUUCUAUCAACAAAUUUUUUUCUUAUCCUAGUUUAUAAAUCACAACCCCAAAUCUACAAUUUUUAUUUACAAAAUGAAAAUUUUCUAAAAUAGAAUUUUUGAGAAUUUUUUUUUAAAAUACAACCUAUUGAUAAAAAAAUCUAAAAGAAUACUCCUCUAUCAACAAAAGUUUUUCUUAUCCUAGUUUAUAAAUCACAACCCCAAUCUACAAUAUUUAUCUAUAAAAAUGAAAACUUUCCUAAAAUAGAAUUUUUGAAAAUUUAUUUAAAAAAUACAAUAUAUUGAUAAAAAAUCAAACAAAAUACUCUUCUAUCAACAAAAAUUCUUGUUGUCCUAAUCUCUAAACCACAACCCCAAAUCUACAAUAUUUCUCUACAAAAAUAAAAACUUUCAUAAAAUAGAAUUUUUGAGAAUUUAUUUUUAAAAUACAACCUUUUGAUCAAAAAAUCUAAAAGAGUACUCUUCUAUCAACAAAUUUUUCUUAUCCUAAUUUAUAAAUCACAACCCCAAAUCUACAAUAUUUAUCUAUAAAAAUGAAAACUUUCCUAAAUAGAAUUUUUGAGAAUUUUAUUUUUAAAAUACAACCUAUUGAUAAAAAAAUCAAAAAGAAUACUCUUCUAUCAACAAAAUCUUUUCUUAUCCUAAUUUCUAAACCCACAACCCCAAAUCUACAAUAUUUAUCUACAAAAAUGAAAACUUUCCUAAAAUAGAAUUUUUGAGAAUUUUAUUUUUAAAAUACACCUAUUGAUAAAAAAUCUAAAAGAAUACUCU